AUGAGCUCUGUUUCUGUGUGGGUGGUUCAGGUAAACACAUAAAGGAAUAUUAUGACUGCACCACAGUUGGAGCCCAAUGGCUAUUCCAUGUAUUAGGGGUUUUUUUAGCCUGGCAGAUGAAUUAUCCAAGUAUCAAAAUCAUCCUGGAAGCGAUCAUGUAUUUCUUAUUCUGGCUGCUUGACAAAGCAAACAAACCAUGCUCACGACAAGGCUCUGAUCUGUUUUCUCUGUUUGUCAUUCCUAAUUCAAAGGAGAACAAACCCUCUAAUAUUGUGGUAUUUAAGUUGACAGGCAAUUAUUAAGAGAUGAUCCAAACUGUUUCACCGGGAUUUGAUGGGAGGGAUGACUAACAUGGGUCCACAUCACACAGUGCACAACUCUCAGCUGCCAUUCCUCUUUCCAAAGCUGCGUAACAACCAGCAUGGAUGAAAUCAAGCAUCCAUGUGAAAACACCCUUCCUUGCAUGGGCUGCUUCAACUCAACAGUUCACCUGAGCCGAUGUUGCCUGUGCUGAGCAUGAAGAACCUUGGAAACUGCUUCCUAAGCUGCCACGGCUCUGCCGGAAACAAUAGAGCUGAUGUUGAUGGCAAAGAAUUUCCUUACAUGGGUGGAGGUCACGUAACAAAAUUAGAGCUGCCCUUACCCUACCCGGUCCAGAGCCUGAAACGGGGAAGAUAAGGAGAGGUUUUAACUGAAGUGAACAAAAAUCAUUGUGUCUGGGGAGUGAUAACAGUGCUGUGCAGUCAAUGGCACUGCAUGAGGGUAAUGGGACUUAUUUCCCUCUUCAAUCAAAGCAAAUCCCUAUAUGAGAAGGGAGAUCCCUGUCACAGAUGUUACCUUCUAUUUCAUCUUAUUAAAAAUGAAUAUUACAUUCUUA